UGGGGAAUAUUGGACAAUGGGCGAAAGCCUGAUCCAGCCAUGCCGCGUGUGUGAAGAAGGCCUUUUGGUUGUAAAGCACUUUAAGUGGGGAGGAAAAGCUUAUGGUUAAUACCCAUAAGCCCUGACGUUACCCACAGAAUAAGCACCGGCUAACUCUGUGCCAGCAGCCGCGGUAAUACAGAGGGUGCAAGCGUUAAUCGGAAUUACUGGGCGUAAAGCGCGCGUAGGUGGUUAUUUAAGUCAGAUGUGAAAGCCCCGGGCUUAACCUGGGAACUGCAUCUGAUACUGGAUAACUAGAGUAGGUGAGAGGGGAGUAGAAUUCCAGGUGUAGCGGUGAAAUGCGUAGAGAUCUGGAGGAAUACCGAUGGCGAAGGCAGCUCCCUGGCAUCAUACUGACACUGAGGUGCGAAAGCGUGGGUAGCAAACAGGAUUAGAUACCCUGGUAGUCCAUGCCGUAAACGAUGUCUACCAGUCGUUGGGUCUUUUAAAGACUUAGUGACGCAGUUAACGCAAUAAGUAGACCGCCUGGGGAGUACGGCCGCAAGGUUA
rnacentral:rRNA from 1 species